rnacentral:sRNA from 1 species
UGAAAUUUUAAAGAAGACAGACGUUUUUUUCUCUUUGAAAACACAAAAAGAUAUACACGAUUGGCUAUUUAAUCUGCGUUCUGGUUCCGUGAGUCGAAAGGAUUAAAUUUACUUUUGGUUAUUAAGGACAACUGGUCCGCCAACAUUGAAAUUCUAAGGAGUCUAUCGCAUUCCGAAGUGACCUGAACCGUGAAAAAAUAAGUUUUUUUUUUAAAUUUGCUUAUUGCUGUCAUGUUCAAAACGAUGGUACAUCAAACCCUUUAUUCCUCAUUUUAAUGUGUGGUCACAGGAAUCCAUUUCUGGUUCAUUUGUGAAAUUGAAGCGAUAACGCCCGAGGCAUUGGUCAAGUUCCCACAUUACACCAAAUGGUCAACGUCAAAUAAUUCAAUAAACAUACUCUAAUAAGGACAGCGGCAAGGUUUAAAUAAUUGUGGAUUUGCCAAAAAAAAAAAAAGAAGAAUCUAUUUCUAAGCACACAAAUCAUUCAUAUUUAAUUUAAAUUUAAUCCUGGUAGAGUGAAAAUUUUGCAGUUUUUGUUUGGAUCAAGAUGCGACAACAGGCCUGCGGUCAACUUCAAGGAUCUAAAGGUACAGAGAAUAUUUGAAAGUUAUGAUAAAGCGAGCCCUUAUGGGAGCCGGACGUUGCUUUGAUGAAAAAUUGUGCAAGUGUAUUGUGGUCUGCAUCGUUGUCGGGAGUUUCACUGAGGAUGGAUAUCGGUGAUAAAUACGAUUCAGACCGGCGUGAAUUUUUCCUAGCAUUGAAAAUGUCAACCAAAUUGAAUUUUCAUGGUUAUUUAGUCCCUGACUGAAAGUCUUCAGCUGUUGCAUGACAAAUUUGCAAAGAGGAUUGUGCGCUCAUAGAGCUCAAGCUCCGUGGCAACUAUAGACGAGAUGGAAAACCAGAUGGGGAAUCCUUACAACAGCACCGACCUGGUGGCUACUUUAUACAAAACCAAUUUUGUUGUUGUUGUUGUUGUAGCAGUGUGCUGUACACUGAGGUGGCAGCCCUUUCCGAUGAA